rnacentral:rRNA from 1 species
CUUUACAAUGCGGGCAACCGUGAUAAGGGAACCUCGAGUGCCUGUACAUGCAGGCUGUUCAGGUGUCUAAACACACCUGAAGAAAGGGCCGGGCAAGACCGGUGCCAGCCGCCGCGGUAAUACCGGCGGCUCGAGUGGUGGCCACUUUUAUUGGGCUUAAAGGGUCCGUAGCUUGAUGUACAAGUCUCUUGAGAAAUCCGCCGGCUUAACCGGUGGCGUUCAGGGGAAACUGUAUUUCUAGGGACCGGAGAGGUGAGAGGUACUGCCGGGUAGGAGUGAAAUCCUGUAAUCCCGGUGGGACCACCUAUGGCGAAGGCAUCUCACCAGAACGGGUCCGACAGUGAGGGACGAAAGCUGGGGGA